UGGGGAAUAUUGGACAAUGGGCGAAAGCCUGAUCCAGCCAUGCCGCGUGUGUGAAGAAGGUCUUCGGAUUGUAAAGCACUUUAAGUUGGGAGGAAGGGCAGUAAGCGAAUACCUUGCUGUUUUGACGUUACCGACAGAAUAAGCACCGGCUAACUCUGUGCCAGCAGCCGCGGUAAUACAGAGGGUGCAAGCGUUAAUCGGAAUUACUGGGCGUAAAGCGCGCGUAGGUGGUUCGUUAAGUUGAAUGUGAAAGCCCCGGGCUCAACCUGGGAACUGCAUCCAAAACUGGCGAGCUAGAGUAGGGCAGAGGGUGGUGGAAUUGCCUGUGUAGCGGUGAAAUGCGUAGAUAUAGGAAGGAACACCAGUGGCGAAGGCGACCACCUGGGGUCAUACUGACACUGAGGUGCGAAAGCGUGGGGAGCAAACAGG
rnacentral:rRNA from 1 species